CCUACGGGGGGCAGCAGUGAGGAAUAUUGGUCAAUGGGCGGAAGCCUGAACCAGCCAAGUAGCGUGCGGGAUGAAGGCCCUACGGUUCGUAAACCGCUUUUGCACGGGGAUAACACCCUCCACUUGUGGAGGUCUGCAGGUACCGUGCGAAUAAGGGCCGGCUAAUUCCGUGCCAGCAGCCGCGGUAAUACGGAAGGCCCGAGCGUUAUCCGGAUUCAUUGGGAGUAAGGGGAGCGUGGGAGGGCGUUCAAGUCAGCUGUAAAAUCGCGCGGCUCAAACGGGCACCGCAGUUGAAACUGGACGCCUUGAGUACACAACUGGCAGGCGGAAUUCGUGGUGUAGCGGUGAAAUGCAUAGAUAUCACGAGGAACCCCGAUUGCGAAGGCAGCCUGCCGGGGUGCGACUGACGCUGAGGCUCGAAGGUGCGGGUAUCAAACAGGAUGAGAUACCCGGGUAGUC
rnacentral:rRNA from 1 species